AUUGAACGCUGGCGGCAGGCCUAACACAUGCAAGUCGAGCGAGCGGCGGACGGGUGAGUAAUGUCUGGGAAUCUGCCUGAUGGAGGGGGAUAACUACUGGAAACGGUAGCUAAUACCGCAUACCAUCAGAUGAACCCAUAUGGGAUUAGCUUGUAGGUGGGGUAAUGGCUCACCUAGGCGACGAUCCCUAGCUGGUCUGAGAGGAUGAUCAGCCACACUGGAACGGAGACACGGCCCAGACUCCUACGGGAGGCAGCAGUGGGGAAUAUUGCACAAUGGGCGCAAGCCUGAUGCAGCCAUGCCGCGUGUGUGAAGAAGGCCUUCGGGUUGUAAAGUACUUUCAGCGAGGAGGCGUUACCGACAGAAGAAGCACCGGCUAACUCCGUGCCAGCAGCCGCGGUAAUAC
rnacentral:rRNA from 1 species